GACGAACGCUUUCUUCGUGCCUAAUACAUGCAAGUAGAACGCUGAAGAGAGGAGCUUCCUCUUCUUGGAUGAGUUGCGCACGGGUGAGUAACGCGUAGGUAACCUGCCUUGUAGCGGGGGAUAACUAUUGGAAACGAUAGCUAAUACCGCAUAACAAUGGAUGACACAUGUCAUUUAUUUGAAAGGGGCAAUUGCUCCACUACAAGAUGGACCUGCGUUGUAUUAGCUAGUAGGUGAGGUAAUGGCUCACCUAGGCGACGAUACAUAGCCGACCUGAGAGGGUGAUCGGCCACACUGGGACUGAGACACGGCCCAGACUCCUACGGGAGGCAGCAGUAGGGAAGCUUCGGCAAUGGGGGCAACCCUGACCGAGCAACGCCGCGUGAGUGAAGAAGGGUUUCGGAUCGUAAAGCUCGGUUGUAAGUCAAGAACGGGUGUGAGAGUGGAAAGUUCACACUGUGACGGUAGCUUACCAGAAAGGGACGGCUAACUACGUG
rnacentral:rRNA from 1 species